UUGUAUUAUACUCUCACUCUUGCUGUGAACCUAAAACUACUUUAAAAAACAAAGCCUAUUGGGGUGCCUGGGUGGCUCAGUCGGUUAAGUGUCUGACUUCGGCUCAGGUCAUGAUCUCAUGGUUUGUGAGUUCAAGUCCUGAGUCGGGAUCUAUGCUGUCAGCUCAGAGCCUGGAGCCUGCUUUGGAUUCUGUGUCUCCUUCUCUCUCUGCCCCUCCCCCACUUGUGCUCUGUCUCUGUCUCUCAAAAAUAAAUAAAUGUAAAAAAAAAAUUUUAAAAACCCACAAAGUCCAUUUAAAAGGAAACAAGGAGUGAAUGGAUUUGGGAGAAUAUUUGGCUUCCAAUGAUAUGUAUUACUAGCAUAAAACAAUCAAAACUAUAUCUUGUUCCAUAAUCAAGAACUAAAUUGAGGCCAUAAAGGUAUUCUGUUUACUUAUCAAACAGAUUUGUGAACUUUUGUCCACCUGGGCAAAGAUAGAAGAAGGGAGUUAAAAAGCUCUGCAGCUGUAGGCAUUUUUAAAUGCUGGGAGGCUUAGCUAAGAAAUCCUCUAAGAACUUAGAAAUAAAAGGGAAAGAUUACCCUCAUAGAGUUCAACUAUUAUGGUACACGGAAAUGCAAAUGAGCUAAAAAAGAGAAACUGUCUUACAGGCUCAAAAGAUUGUUUCCAGGGAAAAUACCUACAUAAUUUAAAAAGGAAAAGUGUCAAUCCAAGACUGGACUGUUGGCUAGAAGAACAUCAUCAUUAUCAUCACCUUCAUUGUCAAAACAAUGGAAACUCCAUGAUGAAGUUACCUGUAUUUCCUCCUCUUUAUAAAGAAAUGAACCACAGAGAAGAGAGAGAAAGAGAGAAUGAGUGAGAGAGAUGAAGAGAGAGAAGGGAACAGAGGAUCCGAAGCAGGCUCAGGGCUGACAGCAGGAAGCCAUAUGUGGGGCUCAAACUCACGAGCCAUGAUAUCAUGACCUGAACUGAAGUUGGACGCUCAACCGAGUCACCCAGGU